CCCGCUGAACUUAAGCAUAUCAAUAAGCGGAGGAAAAGAAACUAACAAGGAUUCCCCUAGUAACUGCGAGUGAAGCGGGAAAAGCUCAAAUUUAAAAUCUGGUGGUCUUUGGCCAUCCGAGUUGUAAUUUAGAGAAGCGUCUUCCGCGCUGGACCGUGCACAAGUCUCCUGGAAUGGAGCGUCAUAGAGGGUGAGAAUCCCGUCUUUGGCAUGGAAUCCCAGGGCUUCUGUGAUGCGCUCUCGACGAGUCGAGUUGUUUGGGAAUGCAGCUCAAAAUGGGUGGUGAACUCCAUCUAAAGCUAAAUAUUGGCGAGAGACCGAUAGCGAACAAGUACCGUGAGGGAAAGAUGAAAAGCACUUUGGAAAGAGAGUGAAACAGUACGUGAAAUUGUUGAAAGGGAACCGUUUGAAGCCAGUCUUGCUUGCUUGUGAUCAAUCUUUGCUUCGGCUUGGAUGCACUCUCAGGUUAUGCAGGUCAACGUCAGUUUGAGAGGUGGGAAAAAAGCUUGAGGAAUGUGGCCUUCGGGUGUUAUAGCCUCUUGCUAAAUACCAUCUUUUGGACUGAGGCUCGCAGCAAAAAUGUGGGCAGGUUUGCGUUUGAGGUGAUACAUUAUUAAGACAGCUUGCUGACUUAGUUUUGUCUAUCUUCACUGUAAGCUUCGCUUCUAAUUUGCUUAGGUCGUUGACAUAAUGGCUUUAAAUGACCCGUCUUGAAACACGG
rnacentral:rRNA from 1 species